rnacentral:rRNA from 1 species
CAGAAUUCNCCCUUGGUUACCUUGUUACGACUUCACCCCAGUCACGAACCCCGCCGUGGUAAUCGCCCCCCUUUCGGUUAGGCUAACUACUUCUGGCAGAACCCGCUCCCAUGGUGUGACGGGCGGUGUGUACAAGACCCGGGAACGUAUUCACCGCGACAUGCUGAUCCGCGAUUACUAGCGAUUCCGACUUCACGCAGUCGAGUUGCAGACUGCGAUCCGGACUACGACCGGUUUUCUGAGAUUGGCUCCCCCUCGCGGGUUUGCGACCCUCUGUGCCGGCCAUUGUAUGACGUGUGUAGCCCUACCCAUAAGGGCCAUGAUGACCUGACGUCAUCCCCACCUUCCUCCGGUUUGUCACCGGCAGUCCCAUUAGAGUGCCCUUUCGUAGCAACUAAUGGCAAGGGUUGCGCUCGUUGCGGGACUUAACCCAACAUCUCACGACACGAGCUGACGACAGCCAUGCAGCACCUGUGUCCAGGUUCCCUUUCGGGCACCAAUCCAUCUCUGGAAAGUUCCUGGCAUGUCAAGCGUAGGUAAGGUUUUUCGCGUUGCAUCGAAUUAAUCCACAUCAUCCACCGCUUGUGCGGGUCCCCGUCAAUUCCUUUGAGUUUUAACCUUGCGGCCGUACUCCCCAGGCGGUCAACUU